AAAAAAAAUUGAAAAAUCACCAGGGUCUGCGUUCUAUGGCUGCGACAGUCUCGCUCUCUUUCUCCAUAGAUCCACAACACCAUCACUUCUCCUUGAAGACGCACUUCAAACCCCACCCAACACUCCUUCUCACUUCCUUACCACCUACCCUCAAACACCCACUUCUUAUUUCUCGCAAAUGUUACGCCUCCAAAUCUUCGUCCUCUUCCUCCCACUCCACUCCUUCAACAGCCACAAGCUCUUCUUAUCCUGAAGACCCAUUUCGUACAGGUCGGUUUCUGAGUAAUGAAGAACUUGAAAAGCUCAAACUCCUUGGGGAUUUCGAGUAUUAUCGGGAGCUGGAAUCUGGGUCAUUGUCGGUUCGGGUAAUGAGGGCGGAGGAGAUGGACACUACCGUUGCUUUGCUUGCCGAAUCCUUUGCGGAUUCCAUGCUUUGGCCUUCUGGGUAUCUGUCCCUGCUGAGGUUUUUAGUGAAACAGUACUUGAUUGAGAGACGAACUCUAAUGCCCCACACCGCCACGCUUAUUGGUUUUUACAGAAGAAAAGAAAAUGGAAUAUCAGAACAGGAAGAGCAGUUGGCGGGGACUGUUGAGGUUUGCUUUGAUAAAAGGGGUGCAAAUGCUUCUCCUCCCACGCCUACUCCUCCCAAGAAUUCACCGUAUAUCUGUAAUAUGACCGUCAAAAAGCCACUCCGCAGGAGGGGCAUUGGCUGGCAUCUCCUAAAGGCAAGUGAGGAACUAAUUUCGGAGAUGAGUUUCUCAAAAGAGGUCUACUUACACUGCAGAAUGAUUGAUGCAGCUCCAUUCAAUAUGUAUGCAAAAGCAGGCUACAGCAUCGUCAAGACAGAUAGUAUUUUAAUCCUGUUGAUGUUGCAGAGACGUAAACACUUGAUGUGCAAGAAACUUCAACCCCGAAGAAGCCCUUCUGAUAUGUCAGAUUCUGAUGAAGAACGAGCAUCUUGAAUGGAUACGUGGAUCAUAACUAUAUGUAUGAGGACAUGUGUCAACGCGAAUGCAAUGAUCAAUCAGCUGGGUUGAAUUGUUGCUUUGAGGUUUGCAAACAUGGCUAUAGACUCCAUGGUGUAUGAACUUCGGCUCAGCUCUGGAUCUAUCACCUUAUGCAGUUUCUUCCGAUCAUUCAAUAUGUGCCUUACCUGAAAUAUAAAGGAGUGUACAUUUACCCUUCUGUCAUUUUUAGUUCCAAAGAUUAUUGGAAGACAUUUUUCUUACCUGUAGUACAAGGUUUUGAUCGUUUGGUCCCUGGUUUAAGUCCACGGCUCGACGUCCAGUCAGAAGCUCAAGAAGAACCACUCCAAAUGCAUAAACAUCACUUUGUAGAGUGAGUUUCCCUGUCUGUUGUCAAAGGAGACAUUUCAAUGCUCAGAGUCCACUUGUUAAAUCCACUGGAAUUAGAGAAAAAAGGAAAAGGGAAGGGAAGAGAAGAGAAGAGAACAAAGUCUACUAGCAAAGUAUUUAGAAAGUGAGAUAUUAAAUACUGUUUUUGUUUUGCAUACUCGGUAUUGUUGAAAACUGUUCGGAAUAUGGAUGAUUCUAGAGUUCAUAUGUUAUGUGUUUGUUUCGAGUGUGGAUUGGUCCAAUUGGAACCCCGUGUUGCCAUAUAAGAAAUACAUUUAAGACAUUAAUCACUGUAUUC